rnacentral:rRNA from 1 species
AGACAGGUGCUGCAUGGCUGUCGUCAGCUCGUGUCGUGAGAUGUUGGUUAAGUCCCGCAACGAGCGCAACCCUUGCCCUUAGUUGCCAGCGGGUAAUGCCGGGCACUCUAAGGGGACUGCCCCGGAUAACGGGGAGGAAGGCGGGGAUGACGUCAAGUCAGCAUGGCCUUUAUGUCCAGGGCUACACACACGCUACAAUGGCCAACACAAUAGGUUGCUAAGCCGCGAGGUGGCGCCAAUCCAUAAAGUUGGUCUCAGUUCAGAUUGUAGGCUGCAACCCGCCUGCAUGAAGAUGGAGUUGCUAGUAACCGCAGGUCAGCUAUACUGCGGUGAAUACGUUCCCGGGGCUU